rnacentral:rRNA from 1 species
UGCGAACUCCUACGGGAGGCAGCAGUGGGGAAUAUUGCACAAUGGGCGAAAGCCUGAUGCAGCAACGCCGCGUGAGCGAUGAAGGCCUUCGGGUCGUAAAGCUCUGUCCUCAAGGAAGAUAAUGACGGUACUUGAGGAGGAAGCCCCGGCUAACUACGUGCCAGCAGCCGCGGUAAUACGUAGGGGGCUAGCGUUAUCCGGAAUUACUGGGCGUAAAGGGUGCGUAGGUGGUUUCUUAAAUCAGAGGUGAAAGGCUACGGCUCAACCGUAGUAAGCCUUUGAAACUGGGAAACUUGAGUGCAGGAGAGGAGAGUGGAAUUCCUAGUGUAGCGGUGAAAUGCGUAGAUAUUAGGAGGAACACCAGUUGCGAAGGCGGCUCUCUGGACUGUAACUGACACUGAGGCACGAAAGCGUGGGGAGCAAACAGGAUUAGAAACCCUAGUAGUCCAGAUG